rnacentral:rRNA from 1 species
AACGAACGCUGGCGGCAUGCCUAACACAUGCAAGUCGAACGAGACCUUCGGGUCUAGUGGCGCACGGGUGCGUAACGCGUGGGAACCUGCCCUUAGGUUCGGAAUAACUCCCCGAAAGGGGUGCUAAUACCGGAUAAUGUCUUCGGACCAAAGAUUUAUCGCCUUUGGAUGGGCCCGCGUUGGAUUAGCUAGUUGGUAGGGUAAAAGCCUACCAAGGCGACGAUCCAUAGCUGGUCUGAGAGGAUGAUCAGCCACACUGGGACUGAGACACGGCCCAGACUCCUACGGGAGGGAGCAGUGGGGAAUAUUGGACAAGGGGGGAAGGCCUGAUCCAGCAAUGCCGCGUGAGUGAUGAAGGCCGUAGGGUUGUAAAGCUCUUUUACCCGGAAUGAUAGUGACGGUACCGGGAGAAUAAGCUCCGGCUAACUCCGUG